rnacentral:rRNA from 1 species
GACGAACGCUGGCGGCGUGCUUAACACAUGCAAGUCGAACGGAAAGGCCCUGCUUUUGUGGGGUGCUCGAGUGGCGAACGGGUGAGUAACACGUGAGUAACCUGCCCUUGACUUUGGGAUAACUUCAGGAAACUGGGGCUAAUACCGGAUAGGAGCUCCUGCUGCAUGGUGGGGGUUGGAAAGUUUCGGCGGUUGGGGAUGGACUCGCGGCUUAUCAGCUUGUUGGUGGGGUAGUGGCUUACCAAGGCUUUGACGGGUAGCCGGCCUGAGAGGGUGACCGGCCACAUUGGGACUGAGAUACGGACCAGACUGCUAAGGGAGGCAGCAGUGGGGAAUAUUGCACAAUGGGCGGAAGCCUGAUGCAGCAACGCCGCGUGCGGGAUGACGGCCUUCGGGUUGUAAACCGCUUUCGCCUGUGACGAAGCGUGAGUGACGGUAAUGGGUAAAGAAGCACCGGCUAACUACGUG